UCUACCUGCCCAAUGAUUAAUUUAAUGGCCGCAGUAAUUUGACUGUGCAAAGGUAGCAUAAUCAUUAGUUUUUUAAUUAAAAGCUUGUAUGAAUGGUUGGACGAGAUAAAGACUGUCUCUGAUUAAUUAAUAGAAUUUAAUUUUUAAGUUAAAAAGCUUAAAUAUAUAUAAAAGACGAGAAGACCCUAUAGAUCUUUAUAUAAUUUUUUUUUAAUUUUAUUAAUAAUGAUUAGAUAAUUUAUUAAAAACUAUUAUAUUUUAUUGGGGUAAUAAAAAGAUUAAAAUAAUUCUUUUUUAUUAAACAUAAAUUAAUGAUUAUAUGAUCCAUUUUUAUUGAUUAUAAGAUUAAGUUACCUUAGGGAUAACAGCGUAAUUUUUUUAGAGAGUUCUUAUCGAUAAAAAAGUUUGCGACCUCGAUGUUGGAUUAAAAAUUAUUUAGGCGUAGAAGUUAAAAUUUGGUC
rnacentral:rRNA from 1 species